UACGUAGGGUGCGAGCGUUGUCCGGAAUUAUUGGGCGUAAAGAGCUCGUAGGCGGCCUGUCGCGUCGGAUGUGAAAACUCGGGGCUUAACCCCGAGCCUGCAUUCGAUACGGGCAGGCUAGAGUUCGGCAGGGGAGACUGGAAUUCCUGGUGCAGCGGUGGAAUGCGUAGAGAUCCCCAAGAACACCAGUUGCGAAGGCGGGUCUCUGGGCCGAUACUGACGCUGAGGAGCGAAAGCGUGGGGAGCGAACAGG
rnacentral:rRNA from 1 species